GCACAAUGGUUCCUCCAACGUGGAGCACUCUGACGGAAGAUGGAUGAUUCAAGAACAUGAAAAAAAUUUAACAUACUGGUGUGUCUUGAACAAAAAGAACCAUUCUCCCUCCUUCCAGAAGAAAAAUGGAACAUCAGAGCUUGUUUGAAGAUAAUUAUGAAUUAUGUGGAUACCACGCCAGAUUUCAAGUACAUUUCUGCUUCAUAGAUUUCGUUAGAAUACUAAUUACCACUAAAUACUGUAUAAACAGACACACAUGCAGUUCUGAGCUGAAUUUACAGUAGCACUCACAAUUAUGAAAAAUGUUAUCUUUGACAGAAAAAAUUUCCUACAUUUCCAAGAACUGGGAAAAAGAAAGGCUAAACCACCACUGGAAGAGAUUUAAUGGAUUUUCUUUUUGGAAUACAUCUGAUAACAGUGAUACAAAACUGGCAACACCUAACCGUCUGCAAAGGUCUUCAAAUGGAACCAACAAAUUAAUAGCUAUAGUUUCAUUUGGUUUGCAUGUAUAAGAAAACUUGGAAUUGAA